rnacentral:rRNA from 1 species
GAGUUUGAUUCUGGCUCAGAACGAACGCUGGCGGCGCGCUUAACACAUGCAAGUCGAACGGCAACGGGUCCUUCGGGAUGCCGGCGAGUGGCGAACGGGUGAGUAACGCGUGGAUACCUGCCCUAUGGUGGGGAAUAACGUCUAGAAAUGGACGCUAAUACCGCAUAAGCCCUAUGGGGGAAAGAUUUAUUGCCAUGGGAGGGGUCCGCGUCGGAUUAGCUAGUUGGUGGGGUAACGGCCUACCAAGGCGACGAUCCGUAGCUGGUCUGAGAGGAUGAUCAGCCACACUGGGACUGAGACACGGCCCAGACUCCUACGGGAGGCAGCAGUGGGGAAUAUUGCGCAAUGGGGGAAACCCUGACGCAGCGACGCCGCGUGGGUGAAGAAGGCCUUAGGGUUGUAAAGCCCUUUCAGUGGGAAAGAUGAUGACGGUACCCACAGAAGAAGCUCCGGCUAACUCCGUGCCAGCAGCCGCGGUAAUACGGAGGGGGCUAGCGUUGUUCGGAAUUACUGGGCGUAAAGGGCGCGUAGGCGGUUGAUCAAGUCAGGAGUGAAAGCCUCGUGCUCAACGCGGGAACUGCUUCUGAAACUGGUC